rnacentral:rRNA from 1 species
UCGGAGCGAUGAAGCUUUCUUCGGAAAGUGGAUUAGCGGCGGACGGGUGAGUAACACGUGAGCAACCUGCCUUAUAGAGGGGGAUAGCCUUCCGAAAGGAAGAUUAAUACCGCAUAACAUGUAUUGAUCGCAUGAUCGAUACAUCAAAGUUUUUCGCUAUAAGAUGGGCUCGCGGAGCAUUAGCUAGUUGGUAGUGUAAUGGACUACCAAGGCGACGAUGCUUAGCCGACCUGAGAGGGUGAUUGGCCACAUUGGGACUGAGACACGGCCCAGACUCCUACGGGAGGCAGCUGUGGGGAAUAUUGCGCAAUGGACGAAAGUCUGACGCAGCAACGCCGCGUGAGUGAUGAAGGCCUUCGGGUUGUAAAACUCUGUCUUCGGGGACGAUAAUGACGGUACCCGAGGAGGAAGCCACGGCUAACUACGUGCCAGCAGCCGCGGUAAUACGUAGGUGGCAAGCGUUGUCCGGAUUUACUGGGCGUAAAGGGUGUCUAGGCGGAAAGAUAAGUCAGAUGUGAAAUCUCGGGGCUCAACCCCGAAACUGCAUUUGAAACUGUCUAUCUAGAGUGCAGGAGAGGAGAGUGGAAUUCCUAGUGUAACGGUGAAAUGUGUAGAUAUUAGGAAGAACACCAGUGGUGAAGGCGACUCUCUGGACUGUAACUGACGCUGAAGCACGAAAGCAUGGGGAGCAAACAGGAUUAGAUACCCUGGUAGUCCAUGCCGUAAACGAUGAGAACUAGGUGUCGGGGGUCGAACCUCGGUGCCGCAGUUAACACAUUAAGUUCUCCGCCUGGGGAGUACGGUCGCAAGAUUAAAACUCAAAGGAAUUGACGGGGGCCCGCACAGUAGCGGAGCGUGUGGUUU